AAUGGUAAGAAAGAAAAGUUUGGGGAUCAAUUAUCGAUAUAGAGAAGAAAAGAAAAGAAAGAAAAGAAGAAGAAGAAGAAAAGGAAGAAGAGGAGGAGAUAGGGGGCGUCGGCCUUCAGUGGCGGCAGCGGUGGAGGCCCGUCCGUGGUGCCGCAGUGGCGGCAAAAGCUGCUGCUGGCGUCAGCGAGGAAGCUAGCGGCAGCAGUGGCAGUGAACGGCGUCAGCAGGCGUGAAAUGGGAGAGGCAGCCGCUUUGCCACCGUUCAUGGUGUUUCCGGCAGCCGUUGCCGGCGAUUCUGAGCUCAAAAUGAUCAGUAGCUCGAGGCUUUCUUUUCCGACCAUCUCCACACUUUGAGGCUGCCGGAAUUGCAAAAUCCGACGAAGUGAAAAGUUAGGGGCAGCCUGCGUUUUCUGGCUUUUUCGGCGAGCUUCAGCUAUGGAUGAAUGAUCAGAGGGCAUAUCCAAACUCUGCUCAGCUCAAGCUUUCCAAUGGCACCGGUUUCGUGGCGAUCAGAAUCCGUUUAAAAAUCGACGGCCGAGAUCAUCCGUAAAUCUCUCCAGAUGAUCGGGAGUCGGAUCGGAAGAUCGGAAGCGGGAAUCGUCAACAGCGCAUCGUUUCGAGUCCGAUGGUGCAUUCAGAUUGUCGGAUCAGACUCUGGCGGCUGGAGGCGAGUCGACCGAGCGAUCAAGCGUCUCGAUAGUCCUUCAGUUCGGCUCGCUCCACUCGAGGCAUCGGAGCAGAGCUAGGAGGUCGUCAAAGCUUGAUUGUUAGUCUUCUCGCGGCUCUUAUCUAGCAACCCGACCCCUUCAUCAUUGGGUGAUAUAAUUGAUUUGGACCAUUAACAUAUGAAAAGAAGACGAACAUGAACAUGGACUUGCACAUAUAAAAAUAUCCGUACAAGUAGAAGGCGAGAGAGAUGACCUGGAGAAGAGGUAGUGGCAGCAGGAGAAGAGACUCUCAAGAA